ACCAACACUUUUUUCCUCUCGCUCUUCUU
rnacentral:sRNA from 1 species